rnacentral:rRNA from 1 species
GACGUAGGGUGCGAGCGUUGUCCGGAUUUAUUGGGCGUAAAGAGCUCGUAGGCGGCUCGUCGCGUCGACCGUGAAAACCCGCAGCUUAACUGCGGGCUUGCGGUUGAUACGGGCGGGCUAGAGUUCGGUAGGGGAGACUGGAAUUCCUGGUGUAGCGGUGAAAUGCGCAGAUAUCAGGAGGAACACUGGUGGCGAAGGCGGGUCUCUGGGCCGAUACUGACGCUGAGGAGCGAAAGCGUGGGGAGCGAACAGG